UACGUAGGGGGCAAGCGUUAUCCGGAUUUACUGGGUGUAAAGGGAGCGUAGACGGACUUGCAAGUUUGAUGUGAAAAUCCGGGGCCCAACCCCGGAACUGCAUUGGAAACUGUAUAUCUAGAGUGUCGGAGAGGCAAGUGGAAUUCCUGGUGUAGCGGUGAAAUGCGUAGAUAUCAGGAGGAACACCAGUGGCGAAGGCGGCUUGCUGGACGAUGACUGACGUUGAGGCUCGAAAGCGUGGGGAGCAAACAGG
rnacentral:rRNA from 1 species